CACGUAGGGCGCAAGCGUUGUCCGGAAUUAUUGGGCGUAAAGAGCUCGUAGGCGGUCUGUUGCGUCCGCUGUGAAAACUCGGGGCUUAACCCCGAGCCUGCAGUGGAUACGGGCAGACUAGAGGUAGGUAGGGGAGAAUGGAAUUCCCGGUGUAGCGGUGAAAUGCGCAGAUAUCGGGAGGAACACCGGUGGCGAAGGCGGUUCUCUGGGCCUUACCUGACGCUGAGGCGCGAAAGCCAGGGGAGCAAACGGG
rnacentral:rRNA from 1 species